GAUGAACGCUAGCUACAGGCUUAACACAUGCAAGUCGAGGGGUAACAAGGGGAAAGCUUGCUUUCCUUGUUGACGACCGGCGCACGGGUGAGUAACGCGUAUCCAACCUGCCUAUAACUAGGGAAUAACCUUGCGAAAGUAAGACUAAUACCCUAUGAUUUCCUUUGAUGACAUCAGAUUAGGAAUAAAGAUUUAUCGGUUAUAGAUGGGGAUGCGUCUGAUUAGCUUGUUGGCGGGGUAACGGCCCACCAAGGCAACGAUCAGUAGGGGUUCUGAGAGGAAGGUCCCCCACAUUGGAACUGAGACACGGUCCAAACUCCUACGGGAGGCAGCAGUGAGGAAUAUUGGUCAAUGGGCGGAAGCCUGAACCAGCCAAGUAGCGUGCAGGAUGACGGCCCUAUGGGUUGUAAACUGCUUUUAUACAGGAAUAAAGUUAGCCACGUGUGGUUAUUUGUAGGUACUGUAUGAAUAAGGACCGGCUAAUUCCGUGCCAGCAGCCGCAGUAA
rnacentral:rRNA from 1 species